rnacentral:rRNA from 1 species
CUACUUCGGUAGUGAAUUAGCGGCGAACGGGUGAGGAACACGUGAGGAAUCUGCCUUCUACACUGGGAUAACUCCGGGAAACCGGGGCUAAUACCGGAUAUGAAACUUGGUGGCAUCACCGAGUUUGGAAAGUUUUUCGGUAGAAGAUGACCUCGCGGCCUAUCAGCUUGUUGGUGAGGUAAUGGCUCACCAAGGCGACGACGGGUAGCCGGCCUGAGAGGGCGACCGGCCACACUGGGACUGAGACACGGCCCAGACUCCUACGGGAGGCAGCAGUGGGGAAUAUUGGGCAAUGGAGGAAACUCUGACCCAGCGACGCCGCGUGCGGGAUGAAGGCCUUCGGGUUGUAAACCGCUUUCAGUAGGGAAGAAGCGAAAGUGACGGUACCUACAGAAGAAGCACCGGCUAACUAUGUGCCAGCAGCCGCGGUAAUACAUAGGGUGCAAGCGUUGUCCGGAAUUAUUGGGCGUAAAGAGCUCGUAGGUGGUUCGUUACGUCGGAUGUGAAAAUCUGGGGCUCAACCCCAGACCUGCAUCCGAUACGGUCGAGCUAGAGUUUGGUAGGGGAGACUGGAAUUCCUGGUGUAGCGGUGGAAUGCGCAGAUAUCAGGAGGAACACCAAUGGCGAAGGCAGGUCUCUGGGCCAAUACUGACACUGAGGAGCGAAAGCGUGGGGAGCGAACAGGAUUAGAUACCCUGGUAGUCCACGCCGUAAACGGUGGGCGCUAGUUGUGGGAACCUUCCACGGUUUCUGCGA